rnacentral:rRNA from 1 species
UAGCUCACUGGUCGAGUCGGCCUGCGCGGAAGAUGUAACGGGGCUAAACCAUGCACCGAAGCUGCGGCAGCGACGCUGAUGCGUUGUUGGGUAGGGGAGCGUUCUGUAAGCCUGUGAAGGUGUGCUGUGAGGCAUGCUGGAGGUAUCAGAAGUGCGAAUGCUGACAUAAGUAACGAUAAAGCGGGUGAAAAGCCCGCUCGCCGGAAGACC